UCUGUUUGAUCCUGGCAGAGGUCACUGCUAUCGGGGUUCGAUUAAGCCAUGCGAGUCGAGAGGGUUCGGCCCUCGGCGUACUGCUCAGUAACACGUGGAUAACCUGCCCUAGGGAAGGGGAUAACCCCGGGAAACUGGGGAUAAUACCCUAUAGAUUACAGAUGCUGGAAUGCCCUGUAAUCCAAAGUUCCGACGCCCUAGGAUGGAUCUGCGGCCGAUUAGGUUGUUGUUGGGGUAAUGGCCCAACAAGCCCGUAAUCGGUACGGAUUGUGGGAGCAAGAGCCCGGAGUUGGAUUCUGAGACACGAAUCCAGGCCCUACGGGGCGCAGCAGGCGCGAAAACUUUACAAUGCGGGCAACCGUGAUAAGGGAACCUCGAGUGCCUGUAAAUGCAGGCUGUUCAGGUGCCUAAAACACACCUGAAGAAAGGGCCGGGCAAGACCGGUGCCAGCCGCCGCGGUAAUACCGGCGGCUCGAGUGGUGGCCGCUUUUAUUGGGCUUAAAGCGUUCGUAGCUGGGUUGUUAAGUCUCUUGGGAAAUCUGGCGGCUUAACCGUCAGGCGUCUAAGGGAUACUGGCAAUCUUGGAACCGGGAGAGGUGAGGGGUACUUCGGGGGUAGGAGUGAAAUCCUGUAAUCCUCGAGGGACCACCUGUGGCGAAGGCGCCUCACCAGAACGGCUUCGACAGUGAGGGACGAAAGCUGGGGGAGCAAACCGGAUUAGAUACCCGGGUAGUCCCAGCCGUAAACUAUGCGCGUUAGGUGUAUCGGUGACCACGAGUUACCGAGGUGCCGAAGGGAAACCGUGAAACGUGCCGCCUGGGAAGUACGGUCGCAAGGCUGAAACUUAAAGGAAUUGGCGGGGGAGCACCACAACAGGUGGAGCCUGCGGUUUAAUUGGACUCAACGCCGGGAAGCUCCACCGGAUAAGACAGCAGAAUGAUUGCCGGGCUGAAGACUUCUGCAUGACUAGCUGAGAGGAGGUGCAUGGCCGUCGUCAGUUCGUACUGUGAAGCAUCCUGUUAAGUCAGGCAACGAGCGAAGACCCAA
rnacentral:rRNA from 1 species